UUCCGGUUGAUCCCGCCGGACCUGACUGCUAUCGGAUUGAUACUAAGCCAUGCGAGUCAUUGUAGCAAUACAAGGCAGACGGCUCAGUAACGCGUAGUCAACCUAACCUAUGGACGGGAAUAACCUCGGGAAACUGAGAAUAAUGCCCGAUAGAACACUAUACCUGGAAUGGUUUGUGUUCCAAAUGAUUUAUCGCCGUAGGAUGGGACUGCGGCCUAUCAGUUUGUUGGUGAGGUAAUGGCCCACCAAGACUAUUACAGGUACGGGCUCUGAGAGGAGUAGCCCGGAGAUGGGUACUGAGACACGGACCCAGGCCCUAUGGGGCGCAGCAGGCGAGAAAACUUUGCAAUGUGCGAAAGCACGACAAGGUUAAUCCGAGUGAUUUGUGCUAAACGAAUCUUUUGUUAGUCCUAGAACCACUAACGAAUAAGGGGUGGGCAAGUUCUGGUGUCAGCCGCCGCGGUAAAACCAGCACCUCAAGUGGUCAGGAUGAUUAUUGGGCCUAAAGCAUCCGUAGCCGGCUCUGUAAGUUUUCGGUUAAAUCUGUACGCUUAACGUACAGGCUGCCGGGAAUACUGCAGAGCUAGGGAGUGGGAGAGGUAGACGGUACUCGGUAGGAAGGGGUAAAUCCUUUGAUCUA
rnacentral:rRNA from 1 species